rnacentral:rRNA from 1 species
CGCGUAGGUGGUUUGUCAGGUCCGAUGUGAAAACCUGGGGCUCAACUCCAGGCGUGCAUCGGAAACCGGCUUGCUAGAGUCUGGGAGAGGAAAGUGGAAUUCCUGGUGUAGCGGUGAAAUGCGUAGAUAUCAGGAGGAACACCGGUAGCGAAGGCGGCUUUCUGGAACAGUACUGACGCUGAGGCGCGAAAGCUAGGGGAGCGAACA